rnacentral:lncRNA from 1 species
UUCUAGGUUUAGAAAUGCAGAAAAUGACUUUAUAUUGGUCUGUUUAAGGUCCCUUAAUCAUGUGGUAAACUUGCUUAGCUUAAAUGGAGUAACUUUGCAAAUUGCUAAAUUUGGAGUAAGUGGAUAUGGAGGGUGCAUGGCUGCACGAUUAUGGGCCUCAAACAGGCUGCCAGUAACAUUUGUGUAUGCUGUUUUUGGUCUGCUCUUGAAUUGCU